GCGAAAGUAGCUCAAUUGGUAGAGCGUCACCCUUCCAAGGUGAAUGUUGUGAGUUCGAUCCUCAUCUUUCGCU
rnacentral:tRNA from 1 species